UACGUAGGCAGCAAGCGUUGUUCGGAGUUACUGGGCGUAAAGGGUGUGUAGGCGGUUAUUUAAGUUUGGUGUGAAAUCUCCCGGCUCAACCGGGAGGGUGCGCCGAAUACUGAAUGACUUGGAGUGCGGGAGAGAAAAGUGGAAUUCCUGGUGUAGCGGUGAAAUGCGUAGAUAUCAGGAGGAACACCGGUGGUGUAGACGGCUUUCUGGACCGUAACUGACGCUGAGACACGAAAGCGUGGGUAGCAAACAGG
rnacentral:rRNA from 1 species